UAAAUUUUGGCUACUCAAUGAACCUCCCUAUAUUUUCUGGGCGGCCCUCCUAUAGCUCAAGAAUGGCGCUUCUUCCAUCCCCUCAUUUAUUGCACCUAAGCAAUACUCAGUUUCUCUCAAUUGUUACCUAGCAUUCCCCUCUAUCUUUUUCUCUUUCUCUUUGUUUAUCUGGAUUUUGGGUUUUCUUCUCAAAUUAUAGGGUUUACUUUUGAUAUUUGUACAACUUUUGUGGGUUUCUCUUAUAAGUAAGUUAUUGUGGCGACUUCCACAACUGAGUCUUAUCUUCAACAAGGAACGAAAGUUGUCACCUGAAUAAGAAAUUUCAUAUUGUUGAGCAUAUAUCCGACGAAGAAGACAUGAAGGAUGCUGAAAUUACAUUUACUGAGCUUUUGAAGCUACAAGAUUCGGAAUCCCAAGUGGAGCAAGUAUUUUACAUACAAGAUGAAAACAAUGAGAAUUGGGAAUUUUUUAUAAAAGCACAACCAAGGGAUUUGUAUAAUAUGAGUGCUAGUGAUCUAGAUAAAGAGGGUAUAGAUGUAGAUGCCUUUCAACAAGUAGAGGUGGAAGCUAAUAUUGAAGCUGAAUGUACUAAUUACGUACAUACUGACAAUUUCAGAGUUAGUUCAUCGUUGGCUACAAAUAUGUUUAUGGAUUAUAAAGGAGAACAUGAAUUGUAAAUGGUUACGCAAAUAUUGGAAGAUGACAAUUUCAUUAAUGAUGGUGAAAUUGAAGUCUUUGAGGAAAAGGGACAGGGAUACGUGCAUAUUCUAAAGACAAAGCACAAAUAGAACAACGUAAGAUUGUGGAGCAACAACAAGAGAAAAUUCAAGAGCAACAACAACAAAUUAAAGAUUUGAUGGAAAGUCAGUUGCUACAACAACGACAAUUUGAAGAAUAUAAGGCACAACAACAAGAAGCAAUUGAAUCGAUGAAACAAAGCAUCUUACAACAACUACAAAAUAAAGAAGUUCAAUGAUUGUCAUGAAUGCUUAUUAGGUAAAUGAUGCUUUCUUUUUCAUUUUAUUAACAUAUACUUAGGCUUACAAUAUAAGGAAAACGUGGGCUAUGUUUCGUGCCAAACAAACCAAGUUUGAACUACCUUAAGCGAGAAAGUGCCAAAAACGCUUAAAAAACCUAUAACAUGCAACUUAGAUCGUAAUUUCAAGCGUAUGACUAUUGUUUUUUAAUCUAAUCAUUUCAAAAAAAUAAUAUAUUCAAAAUAGUGUUGUGUGCCAUGUUUAGUGGCAAACAAACCAAGUUUCAACCAGUAUAUGCGAGAAAGUGCCUAAAACGCUUAAAAAACCUAAAAUACGCAAGUAAGCACGUAAUAUCACACAUAUGACUAUUGUUUUCUAAUGUCACGAUUUCAACACAAUAAUAUAUACCAAAUAGCACUGUGUGCUAUGUUUCGUGGUAAACAAACCAAGUUUGUACCACUUUAUGCGAGAAAGUGCCUAAAACGCUUAAAAAACCUCAAACACGCAGCUUAGCACGUAAUUUCAAGCAGAUAACUAUUUUUUGGAUUCUAACCAUUUCAAAAAUAUAUGCCAAAAAGUGUUGUGUGCCAUGUUUUGUGGCAAACAUACCAAGUUUGAACCACUUUAUGCAUGAAAGUACAAAAAAACGCUUAAAAAAACCUCAAAAACGCAACCUAACACGUAAUUUCUAGCAUAUGACUAUUGGUUUCGAUUUUAACUAUUUCUUCACAAUAAUAUGUACCAAAUAGUGUUGUGUGCCAAGUUUCAUAUAAAAUAAAGCAAGUUUGAACCUCUUUAUGCGAGAAAGUGCAAGAAAAGCUUAAAAAACCUUAAAAACGCAACUUAACACGUAAUUUCAAGUUUAUGACUAUUAUUUUCGAUUCUAACAAGUCCAACACAAUAAUGUAUACCAAAUAGUAUUUAGUGCCAACUUUCAGGGAAAAAACAAACAAAGUUUGAACCACUGUAUGCGAGAAAGUGCAAAAAACGCUUAAAAAACCUCAAACACGCAAAUUAGCACGUAAUUUCGAGCAUGUGACUAUUGUUUUUUAUUGCCACCUUUUUAACACAAUAAUAUACACCAAAAAGUGUUGAGUACUAAAUUUCGUGUUAAACAAACAAAGUUUGCACCACUUUAUACGAGGAAGUGCAAAAAAAGUUGAAAAAACCUUAAAAUUUCAACUUCGCACUUAAUUUCAAGAAUUUGACUAUUUUUUUCGAUUUUAACCAUCUCAACACAAUAAUAUAUACCAAAUAGUGUUGUGUCCCAAGUUUCCUGGCAAACAACUAAGUUUGAACCACAUUAUGCGAGAAAGUGCCAAAAACGUUUAAAAAACCUCAAACAUGCAACUAAGCAAGUAAUUUCAAGAAUAUGACUAUAUAUUUUGGAUUCUAACCAUUUCAACACAAUAUUAUAUACCAAAUAGUAUUGUGUGCAAUGUUUCAUGCAAAACAAACCAUGUUUUAACUACUUCAUGCGAGAAAAUGCCAGACAUGCUUUAAAAACCUCAAAAACGCAAAUUACAACGUAAGUUCAAACAUAUGACUAUUGUUUUUGAUUUGAAAAUUUUCAAUACAAUAAUAUAUACCAAAUAAUUUUUAGUGUCAAGUUUCAUGCAAAACAAACCAAGUUUUGAAACACUUUAUUCGGUAACGUGCCAAAAACGCUUAAAAAACCUCAAUGACGCAACUUAGCACGUAAUUUCAAUCAUAUGACUAUUGUUUUCGAUUGUCACCAUUUCAACACAAUAAUAUAUAUACCAAAUAGUUUGGUGUGCUAAGUUUCGUGGCAAACAAACCAAGUUCGGGCCACUUUAUGCGAGAAAGUGCGAAAAACGUUUAAAAAACCUCAAAAAUGCAACUUAACACGUAAUUUGAAGCAUAUGACUAUUUUUUUGAUUCUAACCAUUUCAUCAAAAUAAUAUGUACCAAAUAGUGUUCUGUGCCAUGUUUCAUGAAAAAUAAACAUUGUUUGAAGCGCUUUAUGCUAGAAAGAGCCAAAACGCUUAAAAAACCAAAAAAACGCAACUUAAUAGGUAAUUUAAAGCAUAUGAGUAUUGUGGAUUCUUACCAUUUCAACACAAUACCAAAUAGUGUUUCGUGCGAAGUUUCAUGCAAAAAAAACCAAGUUUGUACCAAUUUAUGAGAGAUAGUGCCUAAAAAGCUUUAAAAACCGUAAAAACACAACUUAGCACUUAAUUUGAAGCAUAUGACUAUUGUUUUUCUACUGUCACCAUUUCAACACAAUAAUAUAUACCAAAUAGCGUUGUGUGCUAUGUUUCGUGGAAAACAAACCAAGUUUGUACCACUUAUGCGAGAAAGUGCCUAAAAUGCUUAAAAAACCUCAAACACGCAGCUUAGCACGUAAUUUCAAGCAUAUAACUAUUUUUUCAGAUUCUAACCAUUUCAACAUUAUAUACCAAAAAGUGUUGUGUGCCUAGUUUUGUGGCAAAUAAACCAAGUUUGAACCACUUUAUGCAUGAAAGUGCAAAAAAACGCUUAAAAAAACCUCAAAAACGCAACAUAACACGUAAUUUCUAGAUUAUGACUAUUGGUUUCGAUUCUAACCAUUUCAUCACAAUAAUAUGUACCAAAUAGUGUUGUGUGCCAAGUUUCAUGUAAAUUAAACCAAGUUUGAACCACUUUAUGCGAGAAAGUGCAAAAAAAGUUUAACAAACCUUAAAAACGCGACUUAGCACGUAAUUUCAAGCAUACGACUAUUGUCUUCGAUUCUAACAAAUCCAACACAAUAAUAUAUACCAAAUUGUGUUUAGUUUCAAAUUUCAUGGAAAACUAACAAAGUUUGAACAACUUUAUGCGAGAAAGUGCAAAAAACGCUUAAAAAACCUCAAACACGCAACUUAGCACGUAAUUUCGAGCAUAUAACUAUUGUUUUUGAUUGCACCAUUUCAACACAAUAAUAUAUACCAAAAAGUGUUGAGUGCUAAGUUUCGUGUUAGACAAACCAAGUUUGAACCACUUUAUACGAGAAAGUUCAAAAAAAGUUGAAAAAAACCUUAAAAUUUCAACUUCGUACAUAAUUUCAAGCAUAUGACUAUUUUUUCGAUUUUAACCAUCUCAACACAAUAAUAUAUACCAAAUAGUGUUGUGUCCCAAGUUUCGUGGCAAACAACUAAGUUUGAACCACAUAAUGCGAGAAAGUGCCAAAAAUUCUUAAAAAACCUCAAACAUGCAACUUAGCACGUAAUUUCAAGCAUAUGACUAUAUGUUUUGGAUUCUAGCCAUUUCAACACAACAAUAUAUACCAAAUAGUAUUGUGUGCAAUGUUUCAUGCAAAAAAAACCAUGUUUGAACUACUUUAUGCGAGAAAUGCUAAACAUGCUUUAAAAACCUCAAAAACGCAAAUUACAACGUAAUUUCAAGCAUAUGACUAUUGUUUUUGAUUUUAAAAAUUUCAAUACAAUAAGUUACGAUAUUGGUGAUCUCAUGAGAGGAACUUUCGAUGGUGCAUGAAUACGUGUUUUCACUUUGGAAUCCACGUGGAUUCCAUGUCAUCGAUACAUAUUGGGUAUGCUUUCUUCCCUUUGUUCUUAUACCCCGAUAAGUUGCCAUAUGCCGGAAAAUCAUUAACGGUGCAUAAAUGCAUUGCACGCAAGGUGAACUCCUCAUUAGCAUAUGCAUCAAACACGGAAACGCCUUCAUCCCACAUCUUUCUCAAAUCCUCAAUGAGAGAUGCAAGAUAUAAAUUUAUGUCAUUGCCAAGUUGUUUAGGACCCGAGAUAAGAAGCGAAAGCAUAAUGUACUUACGCUUCAUACACAACCAGGGUGGCAAAUUAUAAAUUUAUGUCAUUCCAUCCAUACACAGUCCGAGCCUUAAAUUACGAACCUCAUCCCCAAAAGUCUUAUGCAACCUAUCAAUACUCUUCCACUCCGGAGAAUCAGAUGGAUGUGUGAGCAAGUGACUUUUCUUCACCCUAUCUGCAUGCCACCUCAAAUUUAAUGCAUAUUUCUUUAUAGAAAACAAGCACUUGAAUUUAGGUAUUAUUAGAAGAUACCAUUAUACCGUAGCCGGGGGCCCUUUACCAUCCCGAGCCCCUUUACGCUUGUAGCGCGAUAAGCCACACCUAGAACACUCUUCUAAGUUCUUGUUUUCAUUUCGAUACAAUACACAAUCAUUCGGACACGCAUGAAUCUUCUAGUACUCUAAGCUGAAAGGACACAUGAGCUUUUUGGCAUAAUAUGUCGACUUUGGAAGUUCAUUUCCCUCAGGAAGCAUCUCACCUAAGACUUCUAAUAACAUUGUGAAACUAGAGUCACUCCAAUUAAACUUUGACUUAAUGUUGAAAAUUGUCAACAUGGCUGUUAGUUUGGUGAACUUUGUACAUCCAGGGUACAAAGGCUUUUGAGAAGCCUCUGUCAACAAGUUAGAAACACGAGGACGUUUUCCUAACUCAUCCUCGACUCCCUCUAUCAUCUCAUCAACACGAUCCACAUCCUCAUCGACAUUCUCUUCAUCUGUCUCAUACCCAUCAACAUGAUCUAUACAUCCUCAUUGACAUCAGCCACAUUAUUGACGUCCUCAACAACACUUUUCUCUUUUUAAACACCCUCCUCACCAUGCCAAACCCAAACAUGAUAUUUAGGCCUAAACCCAUGUCGAAGUAUGUGCUCCCUAUGGAUAUGAACACUAUCUACCUUUGAUGCAUUGCCAUAAGUGACACAUGGGCAAUAAAAACCAACUCCCCCGUCCUAACUUAAUGUUCAACUGCAAUACUACAAAAUUCUAAUAUGCCAUCAAUAAAUUCUGACGAUUCCAUGCUUCCAUACAUCCAAGAACGAUCUUUUUUCAUCCUAAUUAGUGUGAUUAAUUAAUUCAAAACAAAAUUAAUAACAACUUUUAACUUAUGUACCUAUUUAUACAAAACAUAUUUAACUUAUAUACUUAUUUAUACCAAAUCUAUUUAACCCUAAAUAUACAUACUUCAUAUUCUAAUUCUAUACUUCAUACUUCAAUAUUUAGCACUACAUUGUAAAUAAAAUCAUAUUCGAAUUCUAACAGAUAAAGACAUAAGUAUAACUACAAACCAUAUUUUUAACAAAUUACACAAAUAUUUAACAAACUAAUAACAUAAACUUGAAUAAUGUAAUAUUCACAAAUAAAAUGAUAUCUUUAGCACUAAAUUACUAAAUUACAUGUUAAACAAUAAAGAUAUGAACUUGCAAAUUAGUAAAAUAAAUAUAAUUACCUUGAUUUCGUGUGUUAUGUUAUCUACAACGAAAAACAGAGAAACAAAAUUAGUAUGGAAAGAGUUGCCCUAAUUUUCGAGUGUUUUCAUGAAUAUCUUGCUAAACUUAAAUGCUUAACAAAUUAAAAAAAAAUUACCUUAAUUUCGUGGGUUUUAAAGAUGAACAAGACCAAGGUCUUAAAUUUCAUGUUUAUGAACAGUUACAGUCGUGGGUUUAUGAAUAAGAAGUAGCAGUGAACAAGAAAAUGUUGUGGGUUUCAAUGAGUUUCAUUGGGUUUUUUGAGUGUUUUUUGAGUGAACAAGAAGUAGAAGUUACAGCCCUGGGUUUAUGUAACAAAAAGUAGCAACGUGAAGAAGAAGAUGAAACAGUGUGUUUUUUGAGUGUUGUAUGAAAAUUCUUUGUGUGGGUUUAAGGGUGUAACGUCGAAAGGCGGGCUUUUUUAAUGCUUAUUUGCUGCGAGCUAAGAACAACUGCAGCAUAUACUGUGAAAAUUCAAUUAAUUGCUGCGGGCAACGGGAAAACCGCAGCAUAUACUUGUGAAUGUUUAAUUAAUUGCUGCGGGCAACGGGAAAACCGCAGCAUAUAUUUAAUUUAUUUUUCAAAAAUAAUUUUAUGCUGCUUUUUUGUAAAACCGUAGCAUAUAUUGCGUAGCAAAUGUGGUUCUUUCCACUAGUGGUAGUAAUGGGCUGGGGUGUUGGAUUUCGAGCUACGAGGAUAAUGGGCUCGGGUGUUCGUUCGACCGAAGCCUUAGGAUCCCCAUGUUGACUUUCCUGAUCCUUGACAAUUAUAUUUUCCAAGUAUACAAUGGGUGUUCCCAUCUUCUGCAAAAUGAAUGCAACUUUGUCGAGUACGUCCUUCGUAAUUUCCCUUCUGAGGGUCGCUACUUCUUUAGGUAGCAACGAUCUGGAUAGAGUAGUGACACACUCUUGGUCGUACGCCUUCUUUAACCCCACGUAGACCCGUCCUUUUCCGACAAACCGCCCUUUAUGGUCUUUCCUUAAGACCAUAUCUCAUGCAUCAACAUUGCCUCUAAGGAUGAAUUCCCCCGUUGCUUCUUUUUCCUUCCAGCCCAUCUAUUCAAAUAAAAAGUGACAUAUAUAACAAUUAGUUUAUAGUAAAUCAAAGCCAAUAAAAACAAAACAAAUCAAGCAUAUAUUUAAUAAUUUCAAAACUCACCACAGCAUCAAAAACUAUAAUUGUUCCGGGAUCAGUAAUGGUAAAUUUACCACUUGAAUCUCGGGAAUGAAGUUUGCAGUACCAAUCUCGCACCCGAUCUCCAGUAGGAGUAUUCACGGAUGCAGAGGUAGCCGUAGAUGAGGUCGUCAGACUCUGAUUGGGGUAAAAACCCCCAUCCACCCACUCUUUUUGGGGCUCAUCGUACGUUUUUGGGCCCAAGCGAUGGUAAAACUUCCUUUUGCUUGCUAAUUCAAAAGCUUUACAAUGCUUUUCCUAAUUAAUCAAUAGAAAUCAAAUGUCAUAUAUUAGUUUAAUGAUUGAAUUAAAAGAAGAAAAAUUAAAUGAAUAGCCAUAAUAUAAUGGAAUACUUACAACUUCUGUGGGAGUUGUUUUUUUGGCAACAAACAUUUCCCAUUCAUUCUUCCCCCCAUAUUUCAUAGGGCAUCUUUGAAGGUGCUUAGUCUCCACCUUCGUUUCUCGUUUUGACCUUCUUGGUCUUACGGGCAAGUUUCUUGGUAAUCCAGCCAGUUACAAGCUUGGAUUUUAAAUCUCUGAAUCUUUUAGCAACUGCUAAACGAAAUACAUUCUUCUUCUCUUCAUUGUUCUCAAUGUGAAAAAGAUUCUACAAAAAAGAAAAAUUAUAUUUAUGAGUGUGAAUUAAAUUAAUUUUAAAAUGAAACUAAAUGAAUAAAAAUAGUAAAGUUGCUUACCACAGUAUCAUCCUAUAGAGAGUUCUUCAAACCCUUUGGAACCUCGUUCCAUGCGUACCAAAUGGAAAUCUUACGGACACAUAUGUUGAUUUGUUUUCCAUAUAGCCUACGCCAUUUUCCACAGUGUUGACCCAAUGCAUUGUAUUCCAAGUGCAUGGGUUUUAUGACUUUAAGGCUUUUCAUAGGACCUCGUUCUUUUCUCUUCUUAGAACCAACGCUAGUAGUGGUAGUGGAAGCAUCCGUUGGUACUAUUUCUAUCUCCGAGGGAUAUGGUGAGGCGUCUUUAGCAAUCCUCUCGUGUCUAACAAAUGGGUCGUCAUCCUUAAUUAUGUCCUUCUCCAUCUCGGGAUCAUAGUCCUUAUCUGACUCACUAAGAUGCUCAUUAUCUGAAGUCUCAAUCUCGAGGACAAUUUCAUCUCUGAAAAGGUGCAUUGUAGAUGAGUACCUAAAUGGAUGUGAUUAGAAAUAUAUUAGAACAACAUAGGAACGUAAUUUCUAUUCUAACUAUUUCAAUACAAUAAUAUAUACCAAAUAGUGUUUUGUGCCAAGUUUCAUGCAAAAUAAACCAAGUUUGAACCACUUUAAGCGAGAAAGUGCCAAAAAAGCAUAAGAAAACCUUAAAAACGCAACUUAGCAAGUUAUUUCAAGCAUAUGACUAUUAUUUUUAAUUCUAACCAUUUCAACACAAUAAUAUAUACCAAAUAGUGUUGUGUGACAAGUUUCAUGAAAAAAAACCAAGUUUGAACCACUUUAAGCAAGAAAGUGCCGAAAAAGCAUAAAAAACCUUAAAAACGCAACUUAGCAUGUAAUUUCAAGCAUACGAGUAUUGUUUUGGAUUUUAAUUAUUUCAACCCAAUAAUAUAUACCAAAUAGUGUUGUGUUCCAAGUUUCAUGCAAAUUAAACCAUGUUUGAAGCACUUUACGCGAGGAAGUGCCAAAAAAGAAUAAAAACCUUAAAAACGCAACUUAGCACGUGAUUUCAAGCAUAUGACUAUUGUUUUCAAUUCUAACCAUUUCAACACAAUAAUAUAUCCAAAUAGUGUUGUGUGCCAAGUUUCAUGCAAAACAAACCAAGUUUGAACCACUUUAAGCGAGAAAAUGCCAAAAAAGCAUAAAAAACCUUAAGAAUGCAACUUGGCACUUAAUUUCAAGCAUAUAACUAUUGUUUUCAAUUCCAAUCAUUUCAACAGAAUAAUAUAUACCAAAUAGUGUUGUGUAACAAGUGUCAUGUAAAACAAACCAAGUUUGAACCAUUUUAAGCGAGAAAGUGCUAAAAAAGCAUAAAUACUUCAUACCUUGCGAAUCAAUUAAUUCAAUUGUAUUACUUCUGUGUGAUCUACACGCGUACAACCAACAUCUACAUCAAGUUCAUCCAUGGAUUUUGGAUUGAUAACGGGCGGGGAGUCUUCAUAAGCAUCAUAUUCUUCGUCAUCAUCAACAUCACAUGUACCAAGGAUACUUCUUUUUCCCGAUACAACAAUAGACCAUUUUUUAUCGGACGGGUCUACAAUGUAGAAUACUUGCUUGGCCUGUGUGACUAGUAUAAAUGGCUUCUUACUAUCACGCAAACGAGUUAAGUCUACAAGAAUGAAUUCGCAAGGGUUAUCAUGUUUUACGCAUCGUCCAUUACUAUUCAUCCACUUGCAUUUGAAAUGACCAAUAGUGAAACUUGAGUAGUCAAGCUCCUAUAUUUCAUGUACCCGCCCGUAGUAUACCAAUUUAGCAUCAACCGGCGAUUGAUCCUUGGCACUCGCGUAAAAUGUAGAUGACGCCAAAAUAGAAACCCCACUAUUUAGCAGAUAAGAUGACUUCUUAUCUUGACCCUCAAUCCAAAAUGUGAACCCAUUGACAUCGUAAUUCUUAUAUUUGUUGACAUCAUCACGAGGACUAAAAGCUAACCACUUAACAGUUUCAAAUACACCCUUGAGUUCUUCACAUAUUACUCGAUUAUGAAACCAAUCAAUAAACGACUUAUUAUGCAACCGCAUCAAUGCCCUAUCUUCUUUAGAAGGAUAUUUGGCGCGCAAUGUAUCGAGAUGCUCAUUCAUAAAAGGAUGGACUUCUGGAAUAUGAUGUAACACAUACAAGUGUGCUUGUAGAAGACUAUCUCGAGGAGGUUUGAUCGAUUUGGAGCCAAUCUUUCCUUUUCCCUCAAGCGUUCCUUCAUGUCGAGAGGUGGGAAGUCUAAUAGGCUUUGCCAUGGCCAUAUACUCGGCUAUGAAGUUACUAAUCUCAUCGCUCACAGUGCCUUGAAUCAUACUCUCCUUGGGAUGUGCUGGAUUCCUCACUUUGUUUUGUAAAAGUCCCAUGUGCCUUUAAAAAGGAUAAAACAACCUUAAAAAAACUGGACCCAAAAGCUUGAUUUCACGAACGAGAUGGACAAUAAAAUGAACAAUUAUGUCUAAAAAAGAAGGUGAAAAAUACAUCUCAAACUUGCAUAAAGUUACAAUCACGUUGACUUGAAGAGCAUCAAGCUUAAAGGGAUCAAGAAUUUUUAUUAUUUUGCUAACUAGGGUUAAUUUUGGGUUGUAUUAUUAUUAGGGUUAAUUAGGGUUAAGUAUAUAUUUUGAUUUAUGUGUAUUAAUUUUAUUUUAAUUAAUUAAUUCCACAUAAGAUGACGAAAGAUCGUUCUUGGAUGUAUGGAAGCAUUGAAUGAUCAUAACUUGAAGACUCAACUCUUUUAAAUGAUGAUAAUCCAAAACACAUAUUGAUUAAACAAAUAAAUUAAGUAAUUACAUUUAGUUGUUUAAGUCGAUCCAAAAUCAUAUUGGAUAUAAAUUGAAUAAUUGAUAUAUAUGUUUAA